ensembl:ncRNA F41C6.10 ncRNA
ACAAUGAAUCGCUCACAAUUAGUAUUGUGUGGUGUUCAGUGUCAAAAGAUGCCGACUGGCCGCUUUGAGGGAAACUUCCGGCUCAUGCAAUUGAUUCAUCACUCUUCCAAUUUUUUAUUUCGAUUUUGUAGGCGGCGGGAUUUUCGGA